GAUGAACGCUGGCGGCGUGCCUAAUACAUGCAAGUCGAGCGAACAGACGAGGAGCUUGCUCCUCUGACGUUAGCGGCGGACGGGUGAGUAACACGUGUAUAACCUACCUAUAAGACUGGGAUAACUUCGGGAAACCGGAGCUAAUACCGGAUAAUAUAUUGAACCGCAUGGUUCAAUAGUGAGAGACGGUGUUGCUGUCACUUAUAGAUGGAUCCGCGCCGGAUUAGCUAGUUGGUAAGGUAACGGGUUACCAAGGCAACGAUGCGUAGCCGACCUGAGAGGGUGAUCGGCCACAUGGGAAGGGAGCCACCGUCAAGAGUCCUACGGGAGGCAGCAGUAGGGAAUCUUACGCAAUGGGCGAAAGCCUGACGGAGCAACGCCGAGUGAGUGAUGAAGGUCUUCGGAUCGUAAAACUCUGUUAUUAGGUAAGAACAAAUGUGUAAUUAACCAUGCACGUCUUGACGGUACCUAAUCAGAAAGCCACGGCUAACUACGUG
rnacentral:rRNA from 1 species